rnacentral:rRNA from 1 species
UACGUAGGGUGCGAGCGUUAAUCGGAAUUACUGGGCGUAAAACGUGCGCAGGCGGUUUUGUAAGCCAGAUGUGAAAUCCCCGGGCUUAACCUGGGAAUGGCAUUUGGGACUGCAAGGCUUGAGUGCGGCAGAGGAGACUGGAAUUCCUGGUGUAGCAGUGAAAUGCGUAGAUAUCAGGAGGAAUACCGAUGGCGAAGGCAGGUCUCUGGGCUGACACUGACGCUCAUGCACGAAAGCGUGGGGAGCAAACAGG